GACGAACGCUGGCGGCGUGCUUAACACAUGCAAGUCGAACGAUGAAGAAAAGAAUCGAUGCUUCGGCAGAAAUUCAUUUCGGAUUAGUGGCAGACGGGUGAGUAACCUGUGAGCAACCUACCUCUUACAAAGGGAUAGCCUCGGGAAACCGGGAUUAAUACCAUAUAACAUUGCGACGAAGCAUUUCGAUGCAAUCAAAGCUAUGGCGGUAAGAGAUGGGCUCGCGUCCCAUUAACCGGAUGGUGAGGUAACGGCGCACCAUAGUGACGAUGGGUAACCGGGAUGAGAGAGUGAACGGUGACACUGGAGCUAAGACACAGUCCAGACUCCUAGGGGAGGGAGCAGUGGUGAAUACUGCCCAAUCGAGGGGGCUCAGAUGCAGCGACGCCGCGUGAGUGAUGAUGGUAUUCGUUACGUGAAACACUGUUCUAUGGGAAGAAAAUGACUGUACCAUAGGAAAAAGCACCGGCUAAAUACGUG
rnacentral:rRNA from 1 species